CCUACGGGAGGCAGCAGUGGGGAAUAUUGGACAAUGGGCGAAAGGCUGAUCCAGCCAUGCCGCGUGUGUGAAGAAGGCCUUCGGGUUGUAAAGCACUUUCAGUGGGGAAGAAAGCCUUGGGGCUAAUACCCUCGAGGAAGGACAUCACCCACAGAAGAAGCACCGGCUAACUCCGUGCCAGCAGCCGCGGUAAUACGGAGGGUGCGAGCGUUAAUCGGAAUUACUGGGCGUAAAGCGCGCGUAGGCGGUCUGAUAAGCCGGUUGUGAAAGCCCCGGGCUCAACCUGGGAACGGCAUCCGGAACUGUCAGGCUAGAGUGCAGGAGAGGAAGGUAGAAUUCCCGGUGUAGCGGUGAAAUGCGUAGAGAUCGGGAGGAAUACCAGUGGCGAAGGCGGCCUUCUGGACUGACACUGACGCUGAGGUGCGAAAGCGUGGGUAGCAAACAGGAUUAGAUACCCCUGUAGUC
rnacentral:rRNA from 1 species